AAUGAACGCUGGCGGCAUGCCUAACACAUGCAAGUCGAACGAGACCUUCGGGUCCAGUGGCGCACGGGUGCGUAACGCGUGGGAACCUGCCCUUAGGUUCGGCAUAACUCCCCGAAAGGGGUGCUAAUACCGGAUAAUGUCUUCGGACCAAAGAUUUAUCGCCUUUGGAUGGGCCCGCGUUGGAUUAGCUUGUUGGUAGGGUAAAAGCCUACCAAAGCGACGAUCCAUAGCUGGUCUGUGAGGAGCGUCAGCCACACUGGGACUGGGACACGGCCCAGACUCCUACGCGAUGCAGCAGUGGGGGAUAUUGGACAGUGGGCGAAAGCCUGAACCAGCAAUGCCGCGUGAGUGAUGAAGGCCUUAGGGUUGUAAAGCUCUUUUACCCGGGAUGAUAAUGACAGUACCGGGAGAAUAAGCUCCGGCUAACUCCGUG
rnacentral:rRNA from 1 species